GGCCGUGAAAUCUUCUCUCAAAGGAAGGCUAGUGUAAGUGGUAGCUUCGCCUCCGGGUAAGGUGAGUGGUUGUGGUGCAGAUUUGUACGUACUCUUUUGAGGCUUCAAAUUAGAGUUGCGGUUCCGCCUGAGGCUUCGAGAAAGCCUUUGCGGAGAAGAUCUUUUAGGGAUACGGUUUCCAGUUCUCGGGCGAGCUAGAGCUCGCGGGGAGAAGCAGGUUAUGGACAUGGAAGCCAUUCGCAUUUCUCUGCUCAGAAGUCAGUAGAUAGUGGCUAGGAG
rnacentral:misc_RNA from 1 species